UACGGGGGGAGCAACCGUUGUUCGGAAUCACUGGGCGUAAAGGGCGUGUAGGCGGUUCGGUAAGUGGAAUGUGAAAUCCCCCGGCUUACCCGGGGAACUGCAUCCCAUACUGCUGGACUUGAGUGCGGGAGAGGAUGGAGGAAUUCCUGGUGUAGCGGUGAAAUGCGUAGAUAUCGGGAGGAACACCUGUGGCGAAAGCGGCGCACUGGACCACAACUGACGCUGAGGCGCGAAAGCUAGGGGAGCAAACAGG
rnacentral:rRNA from 1 species